GUAUUUGAAUAUGAAUAGGCAUGAUAAUAAUAAUACCGAUAAUGUGAGUGUUGAUAAUGUGAAUGUUGAUAAUGUUAACAUUUAUAAUGUCAAUGUUUAUAAUGUCAAUGUCGAUAAUGUUAAUUCUCAUAAUGUUAAUACCAACUGUCUUAAUACCAAUUGUGUUAAUAAAAACAUAAAUAAAAAAAAAAUAAAAAAAACUGGUAGCAAUAUUAAAACAAACACACUUAAUUUUAAAAAUUUGAUUAAUAAAAAAACUUUAACAAAAUUUAUCAAAUGCGUUAAUAAACAUUCAGAUAAUGAUAAGUUUUUACCAUGUAACCAAACAAUAAUUGGUGAAAAUGCAAGUACUAAUAAUCAUUGUAGUUUUACGGACCAAACAUGCAAUUUGGUUAAUGUAAGGGGUGAGGAGGUGAUUAAAAUGGGGUAUAUAAAAUGUCCUUCUUAUCCUAGUACUGCUGACCAUGUACAUACAAAUGAUUACAUAAAUAUAAGUGAUCACAUAAACACACCUGAAUACCUAAACAACAGUGAAAGGUAUCAUAAGGACAAAAAGUGCUGCUCAAUAACAAGAAAACAUGCACAACGUUCUAAGAGGAAAAUGAGUAAAUUAUAUUUUAAUAACUUGGAAUGUUUUCCAGAGGUUAACAAAAGCCAUCAUAAGGAAAAAUAUAACAGGCAUAAUAGUAGUAGUAAUAAUAAUAACAAUCAUAAUAGUAGUAGUAAUAAUAAUAACAAUAAUAAUAAUAAUCAUAAUAACAGUAAUAACAACAACAGUAAUAAUAAUAACAGUAAUAAUAGUAAUAAUAAUAAUAGUAAUAAUAAUAGUAGUAAUAAUAGUAGUAGUAAUAAUAGUAGUAGUAAUAAUAGUAGUAGUAAUAAUAGUAGUAGUAAUAAUAAUAAUAACAAUUAUAAUAAUAAUAAUAACAGUAAUAAUAACAAUAAUAAUAAUGCCAAUACCGACAGUAACCGUAAUAGUCGUGGUAAUCAAGAUAAAAAUAAUGAAGACAAUUUUAAAUAUCCAGGAGAUAUCACGAAUACCCAUAUAAAUGAUAAACAUGACAUAAGUAAGGUAAUAAAUAAAAAGAAUGUUUACCAGGAGAAUAAUAAUAUUGAUAAUGAUAAGAAUUCACUUGAAAAAAAAGUAAAUUAUAACAAAUGUGAAUCUCUUAUUGAUAAAAAAAAAAAAAAACACAAAACUAAAAUAAAUGAAACUUGGUUAAUAGAAAAUGACAAAAAUGUAAAAAAAAAAUCCUGUGAUUAUAUUUUUAUUUCUAAAAAUAAUGAACCAGUGAGUAUUUCAAUGAAAAAUGAUAAUAGGAGUACUAUUAAUAAUACUAGCGGCAAUUUCGAAACGGUAUCUAACAAUAGUAAUGACAAUAGCAAUGGCAAUGGUAAUGAUAAUGGUAAAAGUUGCACUUGUUUGACUAUUAAAAAGGUGAAAGAAAAUCCAUCAAAUGUAGAUAAAACUGAGUUAGAGUUUGAAAAAAGUAACCAUUGUGUAUUACAUGUUUCAGAUAAAAAAAAAACGAAUAAAUCAUUUUUAAAUAAUUUUGACACUACUAGUUAUAACUAUUGUACCCAUCGUAAUAGAUAUACAUCUCUUUGUCCUCAUUCUAAUAGUUAUGAUAACAAAACGGACAAUAGUUUAUUAAGUAAUAACCUUAUUAAUAAAAAUAAUGAGCUAGGUAAUAAAGAUUCAUUUAAUAAAAAUGAUUUAAUGUUGCUUAACAAGGACUUAAAAAAGCCUAGUAGUACAUGUAAUUGUUAUGAUGAACUUAAAAAGGGUUAUGUACAUAUUUCAAAAAAUUAUGACGUUUUAAAAAAUAAUUUAAAGGGCUUAGAUAAAACAAAGUUGAACAUGGAUGAUAAUAUGCUUCGUUUAUAUCAUAACACACGCAGAAGACGUAACGCGCAUGUUGAUUAUACGCAACCUAACUAUACACCUACAUGCAGCAUACCAACUGGUACUUCUGAAUUUGCUAACAUUCACUACAUGGACAAUGUUGAAUGUGACUAUUUAAAUAGUUUUAUUUGUAAAAAUGAUUUUUUAAAAAACGAAACUGGUCACAAUAUUUUAAAAAAUAAUAAUAAGCUACUUUAUCCAAUUGAAAGUUAUGAACAAGUACAUAAUAAAAUUAAUAACGAUGAAAACACUAAUUUUUAUCUCCUUAAUAAUAAUAAUAAUAAUAGUAAUAAUAAUAAUAGUAAUAAUAAUAAUAGUAAUAAUAAUAAUAGUAAUAAUAAUAAUAGUAAUAAUAAUACUAGUAAUUAUAAUAACACAAAAAAUGAACCGCAGCGUAAAACCAAUUUGUUUAUAAAAAAAAAUUUACCUCAUGAUAAUAAUAACGUUUUUAACAAUGAUGAUAAUAGACAUGGUAAGAGUGGCGACAAUGAUAUAACUUACAUCAUAGAAAAUGAAGAAAUAAGAAACAUUUUAUACGGUUGCUAUAAUUAUUUAAAACUAAAAGAUUUUGUUAUUCCUUAUGACAUUUAUAACAAUGCAUAUGCAUCGGUAGCAAAUGAAAAUAUAAACAGUAAUAAUAAUUACAAAACAAGGUGUUCACAGUGUACUAAUGAAUCCAAAGAAUAUAUAAACAUUUCCUAUAAUUUUAUUAGUGAGCACAAGUAUACAGAUAGUCUUGAUAUAACGUAUAACCAUUUUUGCAAUUACCACAAAGAAAAGUUUUUUAAAAAAAAUAGUUUAGUUUUUAACUGUAAUAGUAAUAUUAAUAGUAGUCAUUGUAUAGAUAGUGCUAAUAAUACACAAACUGGCCGUUACAUUUUUGGUAGUGUUAACAAUUAUAACAACGAUAGUGUUAACAUUAGUGCUAAUAAUAGCGAUAUCGAAAAUAAUAACAUUAAAUGUAUUGGAAAAAACGUCAACUAUUUUUAUAUUUUUAAAAAUAUGAUAGAAAACUUAGAUAGAAAAGAACUUCAAAAACUGAUGCUUUGUCAGUGUUGUUAUGUGCUAAAGAAAAUAAAAAAUAAAAUAACCCCUCUUGAUGUUAUUUUAGAUACUCAGGUUUUAUUUCAUGAUUGUAAUAAUUAUUUUAAAAGCAAAGGCUGGUUGGAUGAUGAUGACAAUAAUAAUAAUAAUAAUAAUAAUAAUAAUAAUAAUAGUUAUAGCUAUGAU
rnacentral:lncRNA from 1 species